rnacentral:lncRNA from 1 species
CUUUUUGGUAAUAUUAUAACAAUAAUGGUUUUGAAGCAACAUCAAGGCAACAAGAUAUCAAGCAAAGAAGUCUCUUUUUCCUCCUCCUCCUGCUGGACACUGAAGAUUGUUUUUAUGUUGGAACUUUCAUUGCCCAGAAUGCAAGUUCAUAAAGGAGUGUCAAGUUUCAGCUGGAGGGAAGGUGGCCAGGACAGUUUUUCAGGUAUGCUUUCUACACUGCCUGCUUAAAUAGUGUGGGGGUUUAAUGGGGUUGCUGGGGUGAGUGAUGGCCAACUAGGACAACCGCCUAAGAUCCUGGGCCUUUGUUUACAGAUACAGGAGCCAAGUACUUUUAGGGAAAAGCUAUUGGCCCUCUUGUAGGCAAAUCUUAUUUGGCCACUAGGGUGUUUUUUUUUUUUUUUUUUUUUUUAACUGCUCUAGUUCAGAGUGGGCUGUACUAAUCAUCUGUGAGAGGCUGAAUGGAAACUUUUUAAAAGUUUCUUGCGUAAAACUCUGGUAGGAAUCAGUGGACUCUUGAGCCUUUGUAUUCCUUUGGGGUCUGACGUUUAUUUUUCCUGGGCUGUGUUCAGUCAUUCCCUUCAUGGUGACAGCAAGUAAUUCCCUAAAGCUUACAUAGUUUGAAAGAGUCUGGAAAUUCUCAGUUCAUUGUUCAUAAAGCUGUUUUAAGGAUUUUCAGUGAUUCAGGAUUCCUUCAACAUUGUUAGUACUAUGACUUCAAACAUUUAAAAAAGCAACCCCAAAUUACUGGAAACAAACAAAAAUCCUCAUAGUUCUUUUUGCCCUUUCUUGAUCAAUUUUCACUGUCACCCUGGCUAUAAAACCAGAACUCGGAAAAUAACUGUCUAACCAGCCACUUUAUCAAGGGACCUAAAUGGAAGAGACCAUAGUGGCUCAGAGCUUGAGGUGCAUUGCUCCCAUUUCACUUUUUUCUAAGUAAUUUGUAAUUGGUUUUGCUACAUAAAAGUGAGAAACUUGGCUUGGGGAUGUGGCUCGGUGGUAGAACGUUUUGCCUAGUAUAUGCAAGGCCCUAGGUCCAAAAAAAAGAGAGAGAGGAGAGAAACUUGUUUCUGGCACAAGUUACUAUAAACAAAGUUAGAAGAGAGCCAACAGGCUAGGAGAUUAUUUUUGCACUAUAUGUAAUAGAUGAUAGAUUAAUAUCUACAAUCUUUAGAGAGAUCCUACAAAUCAAUAAGAAAAAUACUAUAAACCCAAUAUAAAAUGGCAUAGAAUACAAAUAGGCAAGUUACAGCGAAGCAAACAGAUUUCAUCUAAGGAAUCACUCACCCUUAUGCCCAGAGUCUUCUAGAGAAGGAUUUUCAUUGCAAUGGUGAAUAUCCAUGAGUAGGGGUACUGUGAAAUUCUGUGUGGCUGUUAAAACAUUGAAGUAGGUUUUUGUGUCAGUAAAAAUAGAAAGCAUGGAACAGUAUGAAUAGGAGAUUCCUAUUCAUUUUGAAAAUCAUUCCUGUUUGACUUAGAAUGUAUACAAGUUACUUUAUAUAAUUUUUAUAGUAAUUUCCUUUAUUUAAGGCUGUAUUUUUCUAAUGAUGGCAUUAAAGAAUGAAAUGUUAACUUUUGCCAGUUUCUUAUAUAAGAUAGAAAAUAUAUAUUCUACAUCGUUACCUUUAUCCUUUCUUUGUUAAUGUACUUUGGUAUUAUAAAUUUUAGCUUCUGGGAAGAAUGUAGAGACUUCUCACCCUAUCUUCCCAGGAACUAAAAGGAUCCCUAAGGAAUGCUACUAUGUUGUCUGCAGUUGCAUGUUUUGGAAUGAUGAAUAAAGGAAUUCAAAGCUCAGGAUUCUUCUUUGCUAGGAUUUACUUGUUUUUGGUGUUCACAGCCUUGCAGAGCCUCCCUGCCUCUGACUCUGAUGCAGGGGCCUCUGCGUGGGAAGCCUUGCUUGUCCCAUGCUCUUAGAAAAGGAUGGGAAACAUGAGUGGCUCAGGAAAGCAAGGCUUAAAGCUGGCCUAGCCCAUGGGAGGAAACCUGUUCUUUGCAUCUGUCCUUGCCUCUCUUUUGGAGAGGCUUUCUCACUGGUUUUAACCUUGGUUCCAGACUCACCAACCUAGGUGAAAGAAGUCUUUGAAACUUAUUCUAGUUUUACCUAUUUUGCUGAAGUUUGAAGCUCCAAAACUCCAGCCUGGAAACAGCAGGAAUUCCAUCAGAAGGUGGCAAGGAUAUAUACUCCCUUGUCUUUCAAAGAUUGGCAGUGUCUCUGGGACAGAAGUGUUGCUUUGCUUACUCACAUUUCAGUGUCAGUGGACAUAAUGGGGAUUGUUUCAGACUUGUUACAUAAGCUGUUGUCUGAGGUGGAGAAUUUAGGGUAGUGUAAUAUAAAUUUAUUUAAAACAAAAACUUUGACUAGUUCUUCUUGUAAAGAGGGGUGAUAUAAUUCGUAUUCGUACUGGGAAAAAAAUCAUUCCAUUCCUUUGACCACUACAGAAUGGUGGUAGCAACAAGAGAGUAAAAGUUCUUAACUGUUCCUUGGUGCCGAUCAGGGAGAAACCUGGAGUGAAUGGUUCUUAGUGGGUUCCCAACUCUGGAAGGAGGAUGGAGAGCUAAGGUACUCUGAAUAAUAUAAGGGGAAUUUAGUCCCUACCACCAACAAAAUGUGAGGAGCAUGUGGAAUGGAUAAAAGGACCAAGCAGCAGGGUAAUAUAAAAUCUCUGUCUCUUUAUACUUUCAGGGAAAUCUGACAGACACAUGAUGCUUUGAGUGAGUUUGUGUGUACAUAUUUUUUCUUUGGAGUAAAGCAUGGAAAAAGAGCUGAGUCCCACAUCUGGGACUGCUUAGAGCAGAGAGAAGAGACCAGCCUCAGGAGGUGAGAUGUGAAAAAGAUCAAAGCUCUAGCAAGAGUUGGAGCAGAGCCAAAGAGACUACUAAGAGUAUUAACUGCUGGUAAUUUGCUGAGAUUCUGGGAAGACCAUUGGAUUUCUUCUUGGGAUGGGAGGAUCCAGGCAGCUUUUAAAAGAAUGCACAAUGACAGAUGCAGCUGACAUCUGAUUGUUGUAGUGCUGUAUAGUUCAGAAUGUUUAACAGUGGUUCUCCAAAAUCUUGCUCUGUGAAUGUUCCAGCUAUCAUAUUAUAUUCCUCUUUCUGCCCAGUGAAAGCUGUUUUCCGUUCAGACUUCAAAAGGGAAGCAAAAAAAAAAAAAACAUGUCCACACGGAGGACUUUGUCAUAUUUCUCCUUCCCUGUGAGUUAUGCAGAACCUGAGGAUGCUGGUUAAAGAGCCAAUGAGCUAUACCCUUCCCAGCCAUGCAAUUGCCGAGUAGGGUCUAUCAUUUAGGGGUAAAGAAAAAUUGGGAAAAAUCUUCUGUAAAAUCUUGGAACUUUAAAACUGUUCUGAGCAAGGACCUAAAUAAAUAGUAAGACUUCUGUUAGUAUCUUUUUUUUUUUUUUUUUUAAAGAGAGAGAGAAUUUUUUAAUAUUUAUUUUUUAGUUCUCGGUGGAUACAACAUCUUUAUUUUAUUUUUAUGUGGUGCUGAGGAUCGAACCCAGCACCCUACACAUGCCAGGCGAGCGCGCUACCACUUGAGCCACCUCCCCAGCCCUUCAGUUAGUAUCUUAAAGUAAGAAGUCAUGGUCUCUGAGCAGUGUGAAUCUAGUCAGUGCCACACUGAACUUAGUAUUUUUGCGCAUGCCUUAGCGGGGAAGACCUGGCUGAUGGAAGAACCUAUUGUAUGGUCUCAACACCCACUUUGAGAACAAUAGAGGUCAGUGAGCUUUGACUAUUCGCCAUUCUCCUUUCUUAAAUAAGAGCAUUUUUAUUUUCUUUAGGGGACCACUUCCUUUCCUAUUUUCAGAAGUGGUUCCAGUGGAGUAAGUUCAUCUCUUGGAGGACACAUAGUCAUGUGCCAGUCAGAGAAUAGUACUUGGCAGGCAGGGGCAUAGACCCACAUCCAGGCCAAUCAGGUCUCUCAGGGUUUUUGUUAGAACUAUUAAGAAGUGCACUCUUAUUUUCCUUUCCAGCUCGGUUGCCCUGACCCUACAGAAUGUAAGUCCCAUGCUGCUGGAGACCAUCUUGCCACCCUAAGGAGAAUACUGCCUAAGAAUGAAGGCAACACAGAUGACAGCUGAGCUGUGAGAUAGAGAAAACUGGAGAUCAGAUGGUGUCUUGAGUACCUGGAUGUAACCACGUGUUAAACUGGUGGAAUCCUGGACGCUUAUUUUGCGUGGACCUAGACUUUCCCUUUUUUUACCCCUUAUAGAAGUUUGAUUUGAAUCGUCACCUGCUGCCAGAAGUGUCUUAAUUAAUCCAUGUCAUAAAUGGUAUAUCAUUCUCUUACAGAGAAUAUGGUAUGGUUCACCUUUUUUUGGUGGGGGAUGCGGGGUACCAGGGAUUGAACUCUAGGGCAUUCACUCACUGAGUCAUAUCCCCAACCCUAUUUUUUGUGUUUUAUUUAGAGACAGGGUCUCACUGAGUUGCUUAGCAGCUCUCUGUUGCUGAGGCUGGCUUUGAACUCAUCAUCCACCUGUCUCAGCCUCCCGAGCUGCCGGGAUUACAGGUGUGUGCCACUGCACCCGGCUAGGUUCAGCUUUUUUCAACAGAUCCUUUUAUCUUAAAGUGCUGAAUUUGAAUUGUAAGUUUGUUAUAAAAAUCAAAUGAGACCAUACAUGUAAAGAACUUAGUAUUAUCUUUGGCAUAGUAAAAACCCAAUAAAUAUAGGAAGGAGGGAGGGAUAGGGGACAGAAGGAAACAAAGGUGCCAAAUUGAAAGAACCCUGAAGUCCUUAGGGUAAUAUUCUAAGAACCUUCAGACCCUAUCUGGUCAUACUGUUCUAAAUGCCCUUAGCACCCUAUACUUUCCCUUUAUAACCUUUCAUCAUGGUUGUGUUGUAAUGUUAUGUUUGUAUCUUAUUUUGAUUAAUACCUGCCUUCCUGAUUGACCUGGGUUGUUCACAGUUCCAUCUCAUCACCCAUUCUAGUAUAUCACAUUUGGCAAAUAUUUUAAAUGGUCACAUACAAUUAUCCAAAUUGGACUGAUCACUUUGAUUCUUGGGGGGGGGGCGGUCAGGAAUGUGGCAACAUUGGCAAAAUCAGGGAAAGAAGACAUUAACCCUCCUUAAUCUACUGCAUUACCCACAUUCAACAUACAGAGAAUUUUGGCUCAGUGAAAUAUUUCUUUUUGGUUGUGAAACCCUUUACCAGACCACUAGUUCUUAUAUUUUUAUUGGACCAUUUUGUGAAAUAAUUGAAUAAUGUGUUUCUGGCUUAAUAUCUGGAAAGCCUUGCAGAGAAGCUCUUUGUGCUUGAAAUCUUCCUUGCUCCUGUGUCUGUCAGGCACCUGUUUAACUGAGGUAGUCUUCCCUCCCUCAGACUCUUGCAGAAAUAUGUUGCAGGUUGAAGGAAGGCCGGGAAGCUGAUGAGGGCAAGGUCCUGGCCUUUGGAGACUUCACUCCCUAGCAAAAAACAAAAGCAGUAAAAGGUACCCCUGGUAAUCUGGCACUCAAUCUUGAGUACUUUUUUGGUGAGGGCAUUUAUUAAAUAUGAGCCCAGGCCCCCACCCACUGCCAUUUCCUCUUAGCCAGGUUGCCUCUCAUCCCCUAGCCCACUUUCCCUGAGGUAUGUGUGUGGGGGAUGUUCCCAGGGCCCAUGUAACUUCCACUGGCAAGUGACGAUUACAGAUGCUUUACCAGUCAGUAAAGCUGCCAAAGGCUUUUGUACUGUAAUAAUCCUUUUCCUUUUUAAAACUCCAGGGUUUUUCUACUGUUGCCAAUAGUUUUGCAAGUCAGCAAUUACGGUGUGGAUUAUGUAAUUGCUGGGUAGUAAAAAUAGAAAAGGCCAGGGUUUGCAUCUAUUUUAACCAAAUCAAAACAGAGCAAAGGGAGGGGAAAGGAGAAGAGGGAAAGACCAAAGGAGGAGGGGAAAAGACAUCAUGUGACAAGCAGCAGUAUGAUUGCAUCUUGUGACUGGAUAAUACAGCCACAAUUUAUGUGCCUUUUCCCUGCCAUUUUUGACCCAAAGUCCUGCACUUCUUUCUUUGGCCUCUCCAUGGAUGGGAGUGCUGCCAGUAGUUCCUUCAGAGGAUACAAGAUCCCCCGUGGAUAAUCCUUAGCUCAGUCCUGUUGUGUUUACCUGCUUCUGGCAAGCACAGUGGCUCAGGGAGAGGGAGUUGAAUUUGACAGCUCCCCUCAAAGUCCAGGUCUUUGUGUCUGGAUUUCCAAGGUCUUUGUAGUCAGCUUAUUUUCUUGUGCAGUGGUGGAGCCAAGGAGUGGCUUAUGGGGAGAGUCUGGCAUACCAAAUCCCUAUCAGUCUUAGUCAAAGCUACCCUAAAUAAAUAUGCAGUGUAAUUACAAACCAUGUAUUCUCUGAAAACGGCUUCUAGAUAGACACCCUUAAUUCUUCCACUUCCCCACUCACACUUCACUCCUUUGCCUUCUGUGCCCCCGAUAAAGGAAUUUCAGGGCUUCCACUCAUUUGUUCUUGUGUAACUCUGCACCAAUCCCCUACUCCUACCCUGAGUUAAGAGUUAUAUUUAUAUUUCUCUAGAGACUUUUUGAGCAACUUUAAGGACCCUAAUGGUAAAACUUUAGGUACCAGGUGGAUCUAGAGCAGGGAAGAUAUUUUUGGAAAGAAGACUUCUAAGGGCCUAAUAGAUUACAUAAAAACACACUCAGGCUUCCUGUGAUAUUACCUCCAGAGGUAACCAUAGAGGGAGGUUUUGAGUUGGUCACUUGUUAACAGCCCUUGAGUCUGUAUAAAGCCCAAGCAGAAAGCCCUCUACCUCCUAGGUCUCUGAUGUUAGAGAGUGGUGGAUACUUUGAAGAAGGCAGCUCACUAAUUUCCAAAACUGAACCUAUAGAAGUUCGGUAGGGUUAGAGGGGGACCCAGAAGUUCAGAUGGUAAAUAGACCCAGUCACAAGUAACACUAGAAAGUUGUUUCCUCACCAUUCUUCAUCAUUACUUCUGUAUACUCCUCUAUAUACCCAUCAUACUCCAUUCUCAGAGCCCUCAUCUGUACUGGAGUGGCAGAGUGUCAGCAGUUCAGAAUAAUACUGGUUCCAGCUCCAGUUAGCCUUACUUAGCCCCACCCGUCCUGCCCAACCUGCUUAAAGGUCAAUAGUUCUUAUUCUGGUUUUUAGGCAUUUCAUGAGAUAGGUGGGAGUAUCUGGGGACCUACCUUAGGGAUUUUCAGUUACAGUUCCCUGAACUGGCUAAUGUUCAUGAUGUGGUACCUCUCUCUUACCCUUGUGGAUUUUUCAUUUCCUAGAGCUAGAUUUCUAUUCACAUUUGCCAAAGAUCGACUUUGGUAAGAACCACCAAAUAUCUUCUAUGAUCCAGAUUUUUAUCCUCCUAACUAUGUUCGUUCAUGUACUUGAACAAACCUGGUUAUGUGUCCUGGACUUGGGUUUGGUUGACAUCAUUGCAGCAUCAGUUUUUCUGUAUCUGGACAGGCUGGUCACUCCAAACAUCAGCGGAAGUUGGGCGUCUCGGAGAAUAUCUGCCUUCCAGUUCCCAUCUUAUCUCCCAGUCUUUGAGCAAGGUAAGGAGUCCAUGGAAUUACCUGCUUUAGGAACAACUAAGGGCUGGGGGGUCAAUCCAAGACUAAAUUUCUGUCAAGAUCCACAAAGGAAGACUUCCUACCUGAAUUCAACUUGUGUUGACUCCUUUCCACCCACCCCAUGGAUAGAACCAUAAAGAGACAUCAACUUGACCACAGUAAUGUCAGGUACACUGGUCAUCCCCUUCUUUUCCUGAAGGAGAUGGCUCUUUUUGUCAUUAAAAUAUUUAAUGGUUUUCUACUUCCCAACACAUACAUGCUUGUAUGUGGUACUCAUAGUGUGUAUUUUUGGAGAUACUAAGUUGUUCACAGUUGGAAUAGAAUGAAUAGCAAAUUUAACUACAUUUAACUUUUACUCAUCCAACUAUACUGACAAAUUUGAGACACAGUAUUGUUUAUAUAUGUGAGACAUUUAUUUGGAUUACAAACAGAACAAGAUACGAAAUGAUGGAUCAUUUGGGUUAGCUCUAGUACCAGGGCUCAGAGCUAGACAACUAUCACCUGUUACUGCAUAUCCUUUACCCCUGGGGUCCCUUUUUUGUUCGUAAGAUCAUACUGAGAAAUGAGUUUGAGGAAUGGGCCAAGACAGGCAUAGGGUUAGGCCUCAGGACUUUACCUCUUUGCUGAAUUCUUCAGGCUGAAAUUGCCAGGAGCCAGGAGAGGGUAGGAUGUUGGGUGAGGUAGCAUGGCACCUGGAGCUAUUCUUUUCUUUCAACAGAGGAUGGGGGUAAGGAGGGGAGGCUCAGAGGGGGAAGAGGAGAAUAGGGAAGAAGGAAAGCAGUGAGUGAGGAGGGAAUUGUGGGAAGGGCUAAGUGAGGUGGGUGGUUUGCUACUCUUGAGGAGGUGAGAAGGGAUGUAUUGGCAGCCUGGUUCAGCCUUGGAGUAACCUGACUUCAGGGAACAGACCAGUCCCUCUGCUAUACUCUCAACAUCCUCUUUCCUUCCAAACAAGACUGACAAAGUCCAAGGUCCAAAGUUCCAACUCUUGUCAUAGAAGACCACAGCUGAGGAACGACUUACUAGUGCUUAACUACCUCGACAAGUGUGUAUUUUAAGAGGAAACUCCAGGAUAUUACCUCUAUUAUGACUUUAAGUAUUACUAAAACUAUUAUUUAUUCUCUAAUUGAUUUUGAUAAUUUUAAUUCUCAAAAAAGUCUUGAGGCUAUUAAUAUAGAAUUUUUUAUAGUUUCAUAUCUAUUGUAUUUUAUCUUUUUCAUUCCUAGUGUCACUUAUUUGAUGCUGUGGUCUUUUUUCAUAAUAAUUUUUGUUACUCAUCUGCCUCUUAAGAAAUCAGCUUUUGUUUUAGUCAUCUCUUAUUUGUCUUCUAUUUCCUUAACUUUUUUUGGAGGGGGGGUACCCAGGGGGGCUUAACCACUGACCAAUAUCCCCAGACCUUUUUAUAUUUUAUUUUGAAAGAGGGCCCCACUAAGUUGCUCAGGACUUCACUAAGUUGCUGAGGUUGGCUUUGAAUUGUGAUCCUCCUACCUCAGCCUCCCGAGCCUCUGGGAUUAUAGGCGUGCACCACAGCUUUUAUUUUUUAAUCACUUAAAUAUUUAUUCUGUAAUAAAAAAUAAUAUAGAGGGUCACUUUAUCUUAUAAAAUAAAAAGACUAAUAACCCAAAAGAAUGGAAAAAGUUUUUUAAAAAAAGAAGUCUACAUGGCUUAUAAACAUAAUGCAAAGAAUAAAGUAAAAAAUGCAUGUUUUAAUGGUAGACCUCCAGGCUUGAGUGGCAUUUUGUCUGCUGGGUACUAGGGAUUGAACCCAGGGGCGCUGAAGCACUGAGCCAUAUUCCCAGUCUAUUUUAUUUUUUAUUUUGAGACAGGGUCUCCAGUCUUGUUUAAUUGCUGAGGCUGGCUUUGAAUUGUGAUCAUCCUGCCUCAGCCUCCCAAGAUGCUGGGAUUACAGGCAUGUGCCACUGUGCUUUGCAAUUUAGGCAUCUUGUUGCCAGUGCCUGGUGAAGGGACCCCUGGACUUCAGACAGAAGGUGCCCCACUACAGCCCUCUCUUUUAUAUUUUGGUGUUUUCUCCCCUGUAAAUUGUAACUGAUUUUUUAAAAAAAAUGGCUCCACCUGCCUUUACUUCACUGUUGUAUCACAUCAGAUAUGGAAUGUGAAAAAGAUAAGACACCUGAACUCCUGUUUAAGCUCUGGCAUUAUUAUUCUCCCACUGGUGGGCUGCAGGCAGGGGUUGUGAACCCAGCCUAGCCUGGCAGAGCUACUUACCAGGCCUUGCCACUAUUGCUAGAGGAAAAUGAUUUUGAGGGUCUUAUUCUCUCUUUAGCUUGCUAUGCCUGAUGUCUUAUCUCUUCAACUAAGUUUGUUUGGGGAGUUUUAUAAUUCUGCAUUCAGUGAAGUAAAUGGAAGGGUAGGUGUGUUGAAAACAGGGUCCAAGAACUGGAAGACAGGAACAGAUAGUCUGCAUCAGAGGUUCUCAGAUGUUUUGCUCUUAGAAACAUUUUACUCCUCCCUUUUAGCUUUAUUGUGGUAUAAUUAAUAUACAAAAAAUAGCCCUCAUUUAAUGUGUACAUUUCAAAUUUGAACACAUGAAUACUCUUGCAAUUCUCUACCAACUAAGGUAGAGAAAAUGUAUCUAUUCCAAAAUUUUUCUUGUUUUCUUUUGUUUGUAUGUGGCUUUUUAGUGGGAGGGGUGAGAAACCUAAGAUGAUAUGUAUCCUCUAAACAUAUUUUAAAGUGCACAAUACUGUAUUGUCAAUUAUAUGGACAAUGUUGUAUGGCUCUGUUGUAUGAUAAAUCUCUAGAACUUAUUCACUGUGUAUAUAGAAGGGUUAAAAAAACAUGGUAUAAACAUACAGUAGAAUAUACAUACCAAAAUGACACACACACACAUAUAAAAUUUAACAAUAAUCAUGCCAUCUACAACAACGUGGGUAAACCUAGAGGGCACUGUGCCAAGGGAAACAAGUCAGACACUGAAGGAAAAACACUGCAUGAUUCUACCCUUAUGAGGCAUAAGGAAGUGAAUAGAAUGGUGGCUAUCAGAAGGUGUGGGGAGGGAGUAAUAUGAAAUCAUUUUUCAAUGGUCAUCAAGUUUCCAUUAUAUAAUUUAAAAAAUUUAAUUGUGGUAGAAUAGAUUAUAAUAUAAAAUUUACCAUCUUCACUAUUUUAAGUGUACAGUUCAGUGGUAUUAAGUAUAUUUACUUUAUUGUGCAACCAUCACCACCAGCCAGCUCCAUAACUCUUCUCAUCUUAACUGAAACUAUACCCACCAAAUAACAACUCCCCUUUCUCCCCUCCCUCUUCUAACCACCUCCCAUACUGUCUAUUUCCAUGAAUCUUAUUAGACACCCCAAGUGUGUGGAACCAUAGAGUGCAUCUCUCCCUGUGACCAGCUACGUUACCCAGCACAGUGGUUUCAGGCUUCAUGUUGUAGCAUGUUUCAGAACUUCCUUCUUUAUAUGCCUAAACAACAUUCCAUUGUAUGUAUAUUCCAUAUUUUGCCCAUCUGUUCAUUCUUCGAUAACACUUGUACCUUGCUUGCUAUCGUGAUAAUGUUGCUGAAAGCAUGAGUGUACAAAUAUCCCCAGCCUUUUUUCUUAUUUAUUUUGAGACAGGGUCUCUCUUAAGUUCCCUAGGCUGCGCUCGAACUUGCUAUCCUCCUGCUUUAGCCUCCCGGGUUGCCGGAACUAUAGUUGUAUGUCACCAUGCCUGUCGAGUUAUUUGAAUAGUAACCACUUAUCAAUAAUUUGCAGAAAUAUUUUCCUAUUCUGUAGAUUGUCUCUUUCUUCUGUUUAUUGUUUCAUUUGCUCUGUCCUUUAGGGUUUUUUCCUACAUUUUUUAUUGGUGCAUUAUAGUCAUACAUAAUGGUGGGAUUUGUUACAUAUUUGUAAGUGCACACAGUAUAAUAAUUUGAUCAGUAUCACUCCCAAGUAUUUUCCCUUUCCCUCUCCCCUCCAUCCCCCUGGUACUUUUCCUCUAUUCCACUGAUCUCCUUUUGAUUUUCAUGAGAUCCUGCCUCCCACCAACCUUCUUUUCCACAAAUGUGAGAAAACAUACCACCCUUGAAUUUUGAGUCUGACUUAUUUUGGUUCACAUAGUUUCCUGCCAGUGACAUAAUUUCAUUCUUCUUUAUAAAAGCAUUUUGGUUUGAUGGAAUCCCAUGUGUCAAUUUUUGUUUUUGUUGCUGGUGCUUUUGGAGUCAUAUCCAGAAAAUCUUUGCCCAGACCAAUAUUGUGGGCUUUUUCCUUUUUGUUUACUUCUAGUUGUUUUGCAGUUUCAGGUCUUACAUUUGUCUUUAAUCCAUUUUGAGUUCAUUUUUGUGUGAGAUUAAGGUUUAAUUUCAUUCUUUGGCUUAUGUAUAUUCAAUUUUCCCAGUGCCAUUUAUUGAUGAAACUGUCUUUUCCCUGUUGUGUGUUCUUUUUUUUCUUUUUUUGUACUAGGGAUUGAGCCCAGAGAUGCUCUAUCACUACCACUGCACUGAAUCCCCAGCCCUUUUUUUUGUUGUUGAGAGAGAGGGUGUUGCUAAAUUGCCUAAGCUGACCUCAAAUUUGUGAUCCUUCUGCUGGGAUUAAAGGUGUGUGCUGGUGUUCCUGGCAACACAUAAUUGUUUUUCUUGAGGUGAAAGGCUCACUUCAUUCAUUUCCCUGAAAACAUCUGAAAGAUAUACGAGUAUGAAGAAGCAUAGUCUGUUAGUCCUUUAUACAAAAAUGAUGUUCCACAAAACAAAACAAAACAAACAAAAAAACAGGUAGUUCAGCUUGCAAAAACAAUUGUACAAGUUCUUCCUGGACUUCUGUUUUCAAAAUUGCUUUAUGAGCAGACUGUUAGCAAGACAGGUAAUUAAUAGUCCAGUUUUAAUAAAAUUAAUGGUUAUUAAAAUAUUAUCAUGGACUUUUGUGUGUGUGUGUGUGGUACUAGGGAUUGAACCCAGAGGUGCUUAACCACUGAGCCACAUCCCCAGUCCUUUUUAUUUUUUAUUUUGAAACAGGGUCUUGCUAAGUUGCUUAGAGUCUUGCUAAGUUGCUGAGGCUGGCCUGGAACUUCGAUCUUCCUGCCUUAGCCUCUUGAGUUGCUGAGAUUACAGGCAUGCACCACUGUACCUAGCUGUUAUGGACAUUCUUAUAUGAAACAACUUAAAAGUUUAAAAACUUCAAC